GCCAGGUGUGGUGGUGCGCACCUGUGGCCCCAGCUACUUGGGAGGCUGAGGUGGGAGGAUCGCUCGAGCCCAGGAGGUCUAGGCUGCAGUGAACCUCUGCUCGCACCACUGCACUCCGGCCUGGGCAACAGAGCGAGAUCCCGUCUCAA
ensembl:misc_RNA Metazoa_SRP Metazoan signal recognition particle RNA